rnacentral:rRNA from 1 species
UACAGGGGGUGCAACCGUUGCUCGGAAUCAUUGGGCGUAAAGCGCACGUAGGCGGUCUGUUAUGUCGGAUGUGAAAGCCCUUGGCUCAACUGAGGAAGUGCAUCCGAAACUGGCAGGCUAGAGUACUAAAGAGGAUCGCGGAAUUCCCGGUGUAGAGGUGAAAUUCGUAGAUAUCGGGAGGAACACCGGUGGCGAAGGCGGCGAUCUGGGUAGAUACUGACGCUGAGGUGCGAAAGCGUGGGUAGCAAACAGG